GGGCGGAUGGCGGAACUGGUAAACGCGCGGGAUUUAGGAUCCCGUCCCGAAAGGGUUGGAGGUUCGACUCCUCUUCCGCCCA
rnacentral:tRNA from 1 species